GAUCUGGCUCAGGACGAACGCUGGCGGCGUGCCUAAUACAUGCAAGUCGAGCGAACCACUUCGGUGGUUAGCGGCGGACGGGUGAGUAACACGUGGGCAACCUGCCUGUAAGACUGGGAUAACUUCGGGAAACCGGAGCUAAUACCGGAUAAUCCUUUUCCUCUCAUGAGGAAAAGCUGAAAGACGGUUUCGGCUGUCACUUACAGAUGGGCCCGCGGCGCAUUAGCUAGUUGGUGAGGUAACGGCUCACCAAGGCGACGAUGCGUAGCCGACCUGAGAGGGUGAUCGGCCACACUGGGACUGAGACACGGCCCAGACUCCUACGGGAGGCAGCAGUAGGGAAUCUUCCACAAUGGACGAAAGUCUGAUGGAGCAACGCCGCGUGAGCGAUGAAGGCCUUCGGGUCGUAAAG
rnacentral:rRNA from 1 species